AUCCAUCUGACCAUGAGUCCCAAACAGGACGAAAUGCGCAUUAUCCUGGAU
rnacentral:hammerhead_ribozyme from 1 species